CCUGGCUCAGGACGAACGCUGGCGGCGUGCCUAAUACAUGCAAGUCGAACGAGAUUGACAGGUGCUUGCACUGGUCAAUCUAGUGGCGAACGGGUGAGUAACACGUGGGUAACCUGCCCAUCAGAGGGGGAUAACAUCCGGAAACGGAUGCUAAAAACGCAUAGGACUUCGAACCGCAUGGUGUGAAGAGGAAAAGAGUCGCAAGCUUCUGCUGAUGGAUGGACCCGCGGUGCAUUAGCUAGUUGGUGAGGUAACGGCUCACCAAGGCCGUGAUGCAUAGCCGACCUGAGAGGGUGACCGGCCACACUGGGACUGAGACACGGCCCAAACUCCUACGG
rnacentral:rRNA from 1 species